UACGUAGGUGGCAAGCGUUUGUCCGGAAUUAUUGGGCGUAAAGCGCGCGCAGGCGGUCCUUUAAGUCUGAUGUGAAAGCCCACGGCUCAACCGUGGAGGGUCAUUGGAAACUGGGGGACUUGAGUACAGAAGAGGAAAGCGGAAUUCCAAGUGUAGCGGUGAAAUGCGCAGAUAUCAGGAGGAACACCAAUGGCGAAGGCAGCCUUCUGGGCCGAACACUGACGCUCAUGCACGAAAGCGUGGGGAGCAAACAGG
rnacentral:rRNA from 1 species